GCGCCCGUAGCUCAGCCGGAUAGAGCACCGGUUUCCUAAACCGGGGGUCGCAGGUUCGAGUCCUGCCUGGCGUACCA
rnacentral:tRNA from 1 species